CAGCCCCAGGCAAAGCCACACCUACCCCUGCUCUUCAGGAUGCUGUCUCCCACCCUGCAUCCCCAUGCUAAUCUGUGACACCUGAAAGCACAGGAUGGCUCCUAACAAGCAAUGCUUCCUGCAAGAGCCUUUUGAAAGAGAUAGAGCCUCCCUCUGCUGCCCACACUGCUUUUGAACUCCUGGUCUCAAGUGAUCCUCCCACCUCGGCCUCCCAAAGUGCUGGGAUUACAGAUGUGAGCCACUGCACCUGGCGGAGAUGACUUUUUAAAAGCCUUUAUAAGGAUAUGAACAGACACUUCUGAAAAGAAGACAUUUAUGCAGCCAACAGACACAUGAAAAAAUGCUCAUCAUCACUGGCCAUCAGAGAAAUGCAAAUCAAAACCACACUGAGAUACCAUCUCACACCAGUUAGAAUGGUGACCAUUAAAAAGUUAGGAAAAAACAGGUGCUAGAGAGGAUGUGGAGAAAUAGGAACACUUUUACACUGUUGGUGGGACUGUAAACUAGUUCAACCAUUGUGGAAGACAGUGUGGUGAUUCCUCAAGGAUCUAGAACUAGAAAUACCAUUUGACCCAGCAAUCCCAUUACUGGGUAUAUACCCAAAGGAUUAUAAAACAUGCUGCUAUAAAGGCACAUGCACACGUAUGUUUACUGUGGCACUGUUCACAAUAGCAAAGACUUGGAACCAACCCAAAUGUCCAUCAAUGAUAGACUGGAUUAAGAAAAUGUGGCACAUAUACACCAUGGAAUACUAUGCAGCCAUACAAAAGGAUGAGUUCAUGUCCUUUGUAGGGACAUGGAUGAAGCUGGAAACCAUCAUUCUCAGCAAACCAUCGCAAGAGCAAAAAAGCAAACACCACAUGUUCUCACUCACAGGUGGGAAUUGAACAAUGAGAACACAUGGACACAGGAAGGGGAACAUCACACAUGGGGCCUGUCAUAGGGUGGGAGGAGGGGGGAGGGAAAGCAUUAGGAGAUAUACCUAAUGCUAAAUGAUGAGUUAAUGGGUGCGGCACACCAACAUGGCACAUGUAUACAUAUGUAACAAACCUGCACGGUGUGCACAUGUACACUAGAACUUAAAGUAUAAUAAAAAAAUUUUUAAAAAGCCUUUAUAAACUAAACCAAAUAUAAACAAAAAUAAACUAUACAUCUUGACAGCUCUAUUUUAGCUCUAAGUCAAAGCAGGUAAAUUUUUUUUCCCAAUAGCUUUAUUGGGAUAUAAUUAACAUCCCACAAACCUCACCCUUUUAAAGUCUGCAAUUCAGUGGUUCUUAGUAUGUUGCAGAUUUGUGCAACCAUCACCACUAUCUGUGGAACAUUUUUAUCACCCUGAAAAGAAACUGUAUACCCAUAAGUAGUCAUUCCCCUUCCCCAGCCCCAGUCAAGCCCUAAUCGAAUUUCUGUCUCUAUGGAUUUGCCUAUUCUGCACAUUUCAUGUAAACAGAAUCAUAUUUAAAUGACAAUAUGUGGCCUUUUGUGACUAGCUUCUUAAAUUUGGCAUAAUCAUUUCAUAGUUCAUCCAUGUUAUGGCAUGUAACAGAACGAUAUUUCUUUUUAUUGCAGAAGAGCAGUUUGCUGGAUGGAUAAACCACAUUUUGUUUAUCCAUUUGUCAGUUUAUGAACAUUUGCAUAGGUUUCACUUUUUGGCUAUUAUGAAUAAUGCUGCCAUGAACAAGACUUUAUGUGGACAUAUGCUUUCACUUCUCAUGGUAUGUAAGUAGGGGAGGGAUUGCUGAGUCAUAAGGCAACUAACUUUCUGAGGAACUGUCAAACUGCUUUGUACAGCUGCUGCACCAUUUUAUGUUCCCACUCGCAGUGUAUGAGGGCUCCAAUUUCUCCACAUCCUCAUCAACACUUGCUAUGGCCUAUUUUAUUUUGGCCACCCCAGCCCACUCUGUGGUUUUGCUUUGCAUUUCCCUGAUGGCUAAUGAUAUCCAGCAUUUUCAUGCACAUAUUGGUCACUUGUAUAUCUUCUAUUCAAAUCCUUUGCCCAUUUUUAAAUUGAGUUGUCUUUUUGUUGUUGAAUUUUAAGAGUUCUUAAAUAUGCUGGAUACGAGUUCCUGCUCAGACAAAUAUAAUUUGCAGAUAUCUUCUCCC